rnacentral:rRNA from 1 species
AUUGAACGCUGGCGGAAUGCUUUACACAUGCAAGUCGAACGGCAGCACGGACUUCGGUCAGGUGGCGAGUGGCGAACGGGUGAGUAAUGUAUCGGAACGUGCCCAGUCGUGGGGGAUAACGUAGUGAAAAUUACGCUAAUACCGCAUACGAUCUAUGGAUGAAAGCGGGGGAUCGCAAGACCUCGCGCGAUUGUAGCGGCCGAUAUCAGAUUAGGUAGUUGGUGGGGUAAAGGCCCACCAAGCCAACGAUCUGUAGCUGGUCUGAGAGGACGACCAGCCACACUGGAACUGAGACACGGUCCAGACUCCUACGGUAGGCAGGAGUGGGGAAUUUUGGACAAUGGGCGAAAGCCUGAUCCAGCCAUUCCGCGUGCAGGAUGAAGGCCCUCGGGUUGUAAACUGCUUUUGUACAGAACGAAAAGGUUUCUACUAAUACUAGGAGCUCAUGACGGUACUGUAAGAAUAAGCACCGGCUAACUACGUGCCAGCAGCCGCCGUAA